AGUGAACGCUGGCGGUAGGCCUAGCACAUGCAAGUCGAACGGCAGCACAGUAAGAGCUUGCUCUUACGGGUGGCGAGUGGCGGACGGGUGAGGAAUACAUCGGAAUCUACUUUUUCGUGGGGGAUAACGUAGGGAAACUUACGCUAAUACCGCAUACGACCUACGGGUGAAAGCAGGGGAUCUUCGGACCUUGCGCGAUUGAAUGAGCCGAUGUCGGAUUAGCUAGUUGGCGGGGUAAAGGCCCACCAAGGCGACGAUCCGUAGCUGGUCUGAGAGGAUGACCAGCCACACUGGAACUGAGACACGGUCCAGACUCCUACGGGAGGCAGCAGUGGGGAAUAUGGGAAAAUGGGCGCAAGCCUGAUCCAGCCAUACCGCGUGGGUGAAGAAGGCCUUCGGGUUGUAAAGCCCUUUUGUUGGGAAAGAAAAGCAGCAGGUUAAUACCCCGCUGUUCUGACGGUACCCAAAGAAUAAGCACCGGCUAACUUCGU
rnacentral:rRNA from 1 species